rnacentral:rRNA from 1 species
CAUGUAGGCGGAUUAAUAAGUUUGAAGUGAAAUCCUAUAGCUUAACUAUAGAACUGCUUUGAAAACUGUUAAUCUAGAAUGUGGGAGAGGUAGAUGGAAUUUCUGGUGUAGGGGUAAAAUCCGUAGAGAUCAGAAGGAAUACCGACUGCGAAGGCGAUCUACUGGAACAUUAUUGACGCUGAGAUGCGAAAGCGUGGGGAGCAAACA